rnacentral:tRNA from 1 species
ACCAAAAUAGCUCAGUUCGGAGGGCGUUAGACUAUAGAUCGAAAAGUCUCUGGUUCGAUCCCUGAAUUCGGCA